CCCGGGAAGGCGCUUCAUCUCCGCGCGCCUCAGUGUCCUCGCCGGCAGCAGAGUAACGCGCAUGGCGCGGGGUGCCUGCGAGGCUAGGACCUCCAGUACAAUGCUGAAGAGACCUGAUGACAGCAGAUGUCUUUGUUCUGUUUCCAAUCUUGCAUAAACCCCACUUGAUCCUGACAUAUUAUUUUGUUUAAAUAUGGAUGGAUUCUUGAUCUUGGAGUUGUCAAAUCAAGCCCCAU